GGAAAUUUAGCUCAGUGGUAGAGCACUUGCCUAGCAAGCACAAGGCCCUGGGUUCGAUCCCCAGCUCCG
rnacentral:tRNA from 1 species